GAGCAGAGGCCAUCAGGGCCCUUGUGAAGCCUCAGACUGUCGAGCCCAAGAUGCUAAAGGGCUCCAGCCGCAAACUCAGCCGUCUGGCUUUCAUCGCUCACCCCAAGCUUGGCAAGAGGAUUCGAAGAUACAUGGCCAAGGGUCGUAGGCUCUGCCAACCAAAGUCCAAGGUUCAAACCAAGGCAGAGGCCAUAGCUCCAGUUAAGGCCCAGGCCAAAGCUCUAGCCCAGGCUCCCAAGGGUGCCCAGGCCCCUGUGAAGGACCCAUAGAAAAGGCUCCUGCCACUGUGAAGACAGACAGACUGCUGUGACACAACCACCUACACACUAUUUACACAUGGUCAGUGUCCUGUGCUGUUUUUACAAAUAAACUUGAGACAAG
rnacentral:lncRNA from 1 species